rnacentral:rRNA from 1 species
CCUACGGGAGGCAGCAGUGGGGGAUAUUGCACAAUGGGGGAAACCCUGAUGCAGCGACGCCGCGUGGGCGAAGAAGUAUUUCGGUAUGUAAAGCCCUAUCAGCAGGGAAGAAGAAAUGACGGUACCUGAGUAAGAAGCACCGGCUAAAUACGUGCCAGCAGCCGCGGUAAUACGGAUGGUGCAAGCGUUAUCCGGAUGUACUGGGUGGAAAGGGAGCGCAGGCGGCACGGCAAGCCUGAUGGGAAAGCCCGCGGCCCAACCGCGGGACUGCAUUGGGAACUACCGGGCUGGAGUGCCGGAGAGGUAGGCGGAAUUCCUAGUGUAGCGGUGAAAUGCGUAGAUAUUAGGAGGAACACCAGUGGCGAAGGCGGCCUACUGGACGGUGACUGACGCUGAGGCUCGAAAGCGUGGGGAGCAAACAGGAUUAGAUACCCGAGUAGUC